UAUUUUGAUAAAAUUUUCCGUUUAUGCAAAUUUAUGUUAUUAUAUAUACAACAACAUAAAUCAAAAUAAAACACUAAACAAAAAUUAAGAAAAGUUCAUACAAAAUGGGUUUCUCCAAAAACAUAUUGAUCGCAUUUGUUUUCACCAUUUUCUUCGUAGUAUCUAAUGUUCAUUGCUACCCAGACUUUGAAGUAAAACAAGACUACAAAAAAUGCUACCUUCCGUGUAAACAAAUAUCCGAAGGAUGUGAAAGUUUUUGUGCAGCUAAGAACAUUCAGUUGGUUGGCGAAUGUAUUUCUGAUUUAUGUUGUUGUAGGUCAAAAAGGCCAAAUUAACAUUAUUAAAGAUUAUACAUAUUUUACUAGUGUCAAGAGUGCUAAUAAAGAUCCAAAACAAUUAGCAAACUGAAGUUACUUUGAUAAAGAAAUCAUCUUUCCUUAAAAGAAAUAAAAAAUAUUAAUUCAACAUA